rnacentral:sRNA from 1 species
AUCUUGGGGCAGGGGCCAUUUUGGAAGCAUCUUGCGAGGCUCCGCUUCUGCAAGUAUGGAGAAGGCAAAAGGCAAGGAGUGGACCUCCACAGAGAAGUCGAGGGAAGAGGAUCAGCAGGCUUCUAAUGAACCAAAUACAAUUGCUUUGCCAGGAACAUCAGCAAAGAGAACCAAAGAAAAAAUGUCUGUCAAAGGCAAUAAAGGUAAGAGGUCUUCAAAUCCUCAAAUCCCACCUUCUUGGGUCUUAGAAGCCAGAGGAAUUUUUCUGAAGAAGAAAAACUAGGGAAGAAAUUUCCAUCAUGUAUUGUGCAAAUCCUACACUUCAUGGAAGCCUAGCUUAAACUGUACCUUCCUGAAGCAUCUUUUGGUCACCACUGCUCUAACUGAUCCCUUCCUAUCUUCAGACUUCCACAGCAUAUUUGGUUCUGCUGAUCAUUUUUUCCUUCACUUGCUACUUGGAGUUAAGGAUUUCAGUGUGCAAUGAUUUGGGAACAGACAGCUGUAAAUUUGAAGACGCAUUCUUGAAACCGGACUUUGUAUUCUAAAAAUAAGUUAGGACAAUAUCUACCUUUAUUAAGGGGUGGGAAUGGAGUGUUAAAAUUUACAUAGAGUAGUUAAGUGAAGCACUCAGACUAUGCGUGAGAAGUAAUAUGUACAAAGUAAACCCUACUAACUAUUAG